UUUAAAAAUGACAAUCUUAAAGGUCAAAAGAUACAGAAGUUGAGGUGUUUGUUCCACUCCAUUCUGGGUCCUUGAAAGUCUGAUUUUACCAGUUAAGUACAUGGUGGGGGAGGGACAGCCAAACCUUUGGAUCCUUUUCAAUUGUUCUCCUAUACCCCUAUCCCCACCCCUCAUCCUCCACCUCCCUUCCCUUAGCCUACAAUGACCUUAGCUUAGUAGUUUGCUUUAUUGAAUAGCAGCGGCCCCUGGUGGCCAGUUCUAGCCUUGCAGUCUGUGAGCAGGGCAAGCUCCCUUCCUCCUGAGACAGCUAACUCCUGGUGACUGUGGAAGUAGGUGUUAGGUGCACUGGGAGCUUGGAAAGCAAUCCCAGCUCUGAGACUGGUCAUGCUGGAGGACCUGCUGUUCUACUUUCAAGACCUCCUAAGUAUGAGUCACCCUGCUGGAGGGAUGCUACUUAGUGGGUAUAAAGCACACCCCUGGAACUUCAGAGUUCCAGGCUCUCUAGCAUUCUCAAAUGACACAUACAUAGCUCCAGAGGUCAGUCCAUAAUCUGGCCUCAGGCUCUCAAACUCAAGGAAUUUUUUUGGUUGAUGAAAUGUUUUUCUAGCUAUAGAGGGUUGGAAGCACCAGUCCCCAUGUACUUCCCUGUCUGAGCUGGGCCUCCUGCUAACUGCACCCUUCAACCUUUUGGUCUCUGGCCCUACUGCCUUCUAAGGCUGCCUUCUUUGGUCUUCUUUCACCAGAUGUUAUGGAAGGUGAACUAGGGCUUCAUGAUGGUGGCUAUUCCUUUAUCUCAAGUUCCCAAGAUAGAUACCUCCAUAGAAAGGUGACAAGGAAGGAAGGAAGAAAGGAAGGAAGGAACUAGGAAGAAAGAAAGGCACCUAAUCAAUAAACUUCAGAUGCUUAAUGCCAACAUAGAAAGAAAAAGAUGAAAACACAAGCCCUUUAAACAGCUUUUUGUUUUCUCCAAAAUUAUCAAUCCUGUCAUAAUGACCUAUAAGGUUAUUUACUUCGAAGACAUGAAUGUACUCAAGAGAACAACAAGAAACUGACAUAGAGAAUCCAGGGCAAGUUAAGGAAACAGAACUCCAUCAAAGUCACUGAAGAAGGAAACUGACAUAAUGCUUGAAAUGAAAACUCAGUUCAGUGGAAAGCCUCAACAGCAGAGCAGAUAGGGGGAAGGGCUAGAUGUCAAAGCUUAGAGAAAAUAUGCAGAAAUCGGAUUAUACUAUUGAUGUCAGUGAAACUUAAGAGAAGAUGGGAAUGAAACCUGAAAAGCUUUGGUUCAUCAGGCAAAGAAUAAAUCUAAAAAUUGUUGGCAUGCAAGAAGUAUUUCAUGCUACAGGCAAAGAAGGUAUGAGUAACAAAAUCAUAGAAGAAAAUCUUCACAUCUGGAGGCAGUCACAACUAUUGAAUAACAAAAGCAUAGAAGAAAAUCUCCACAUCUGGAGACAGUCACACCCAUUGAGCUACAAGAGGCAGACAGAACACCAGAUUGACAGGGUCUUUAUAUCAUAUAUUUUAAAACACAGACACCUAAAGUAGAGGACAUUGGAUGCUGCAUGAGAGAAGGGCCACAUCUUACAUGGAGCCACGCCAUUCAGAAUAAUAUUAUUCAAUAGAAAACUGUAAGGUCAAAAGUCCUGGGAAAGAUUUAUCCCAAGUUCUGAUAGGUUACAUCCUUCACCAACUAUGACACUCAAUAAAUGACCUAUCAUAUUGAAGAACAAUAAAAACAGACUAAAAGGAUUUAUGGCCACUAAACCAACUCUACCGAAGAUAAUAGAAGGAACACUUUGAACUGAAGAGAAGAUUAAACACACCCAAGACACCACAGGAGGGAAAGUAAACAAUAUCAUGACUAUUAAUAAAAAGAUUCUAGGAAAAUGACCUGGACUAGCAGGUCACUCUUUGGUAACAGAUUCCUAAGAAAAAUGGUCAGGAGAUGAGAAGAAAAAGAUUAAAAAAAUGUUGGGGUCAGGAGAUCUUGCUCAAACUAUAUCUUAUGGAAGAGAAGCUUUUUAAGAAGUACAGAAUCUUAUAUACAGUCUUUCCUGACAGGGAAAAUGUGAUGAAGCCAACAAAAAACUGUUAUAUAAUGAGACAGAGUCAUUGGGAAACUAAUCAAGCACUGUUACACAGGGAACACAGACAACCUCAAAGACAUCAGAGACAGAGCACCUUGGGACUCUGACAACCAUAGCCCAUGUGUUUUCUGAAGUUGACAGUACCCAACUUUCACUUAUAUAUGUUUAUAAUUUCAACAUCUAUUUCUUGGUCUCUGUGGAGUGGUUCUGAUUAGGUGAGGUUUGAAGUCUGUAUGUCAGUUAUUAGAAUAACCUCGCCUGUGUUGGGGCAGCUGGGCCAAUCCCUGCGUUCAGGGGCGUGGCUGCCCCAGGGGAGUAGGGUACCCUUAAAAAGGACCGGGGCCCCGGAAGGAGCCCCUGUUCUUGUUCCCCCGUUACCUUCUGCUUCGCUGGACCCUUGGUUCUGUAAGUUCCCUUAUUUUCUCCUUUUAUUAAAACUGAUUUACUAUAAAA